GCUUACGGCCAUACCACCCUGAACACGCCCGAUCUCGUCCGAUCUCGGAAGCUAAGCAGGGUCGGCCUGGUUAGUACUUGGAUGGGAGACGCCUGGGAAUACCAGGUGCUGUAAGCU
rnacentral:rRNA from 1 species